rnacentral:rRNA from 1 species
CCUACGGGGGGCAGCAGUGGGGAAUAUUGCACAAUGGGGGAAACCCUGAUGCAGCGACGCCGCGUGAGUGAAGAAGUAAUUCGUUAUGUAAAGCUCUAUCAGCAGGGAAGAAAAUGACGGUACCUGAGUAAGAAGCCCCGGCUAACUACGUGCCAGCAGCCGCGGUAAUACGUAGGGGGCAAGCGUUAUCCGGAUUUACUGGGUGUAAAGGGAGCGUAGACGGCAGUGCAAGUCUGGAGUGAAAGCCCGUGGCCCAACCACGGGACUGCUUUGGAAACUGUGUUGCUGGAGUGCAGGAGGGGUAAGCGGAAUUCCUAGUGUAGCGGUGAAAUGCGUAGAUAUUAGGAGGAACACCGGUGGCGAAGGCGGCUUACUGGACUGUAACUGACGUUGAGGCUCGAAGGCGUGGGGAGCAAACAGGAUUAGAUACCCUGGUAGUC